UACGUAGGUGGCAAGCGUUGUCCGGAUUUAUUGGGUUUAAAGGGUGCGUAGGCGGUGUCCUAAGUCAGUUGUGAAAUACGGCAGCUUAACUGUCGAGGUACAAUUGAUACUGGGACACUUGAGUACUGAUGAGGUAGGCGGAAUGGACGGUGUAGCGGUGAAAUGCUUAGAUAUCGUCCAGAACACCAAUUGCGAAGGCAGCUCACUACACAAUCAUUGACUCUGAGGCACGAAAGCGUGGGGAUCAAACAGG
rnacentral:rRNA from 1 species